rnacentral:piRNA from 1 species
AAUGCCUGAUCGAUGCUAACAUGAGAG